ensembl:lncRNA
CACAAUCAAUAGGAUAAAAGCACAAAAUAGCAGGCAAAUAAGGAGGUCUAGGAAUGAAGCUAUGUAGGGUCUGAACCUUCAGGAACAUAGCAUACGCCGACCGCCUUUCAAUUAUGAGUUUCCAGACAGAUAAAAUGCCACAACAUGUGUGGAGGGAAGUUGUGCUGAAAAUUGAAAAGGACCAUUGCCACCGGUUGAAGGUAAAUUUCACCUGUAGCACAUGAAAUGAACAUGUUUAAUUAUCUGGUUGCCUACGAAAAUGUUUGAUGGGAAACACAAGUCCUCUGUUCAAACACAAGCCAUGGAAAUUAAUAAGAAGGGGUUGGCCCACUAUUGCUAAAAAUGUGUCAAAAACAAAAAUGGCCUGCCCUCAUACAGACAUUAUUCCCUUUAGUCUCCUGGACAGCUGUCUCCUGAGACACCAGUUGUAACAGUGCUUCCAAUGACUGGUCGAACCAAGAGCCCUGGUAUAGGCAGCCACAGAACAGGGAACACUACCAUAGAAGAAUACCGUAGAGCACUACAGCCAGACAACUUCAGCAAAGACAACAUUCUCAGCACAGAGAGAAGGAAAAACGCCAAAACAGUCCGAAUAGACAACUGCCAAAGUGAAAGGACAGACAUCAGGACUGGCAUCUCUGUGAGAGACAAUAUUAGCACAGACAAGUUGGGCCACCUAAGCUACAGGGCAGAUGCCCUAAGAGAAGAUACUCACUUUAGAAAUGAUUGUAAGCAGCUCAGAAUGGACCAACUUCGGACAGUCCACCCCAAAGCAGACAGCAUUGGGAUAAAUCUGGGUAGAGACCUCCAUAGGACAGACAUUGGGUCAAAGGACCUGGAGACCAACAUCAUUGGGACAUCACCAUCCCAGUCCAAUGUUUUGCACCCGUGGCAGGUUUGGGACAGAGUUGCCAGAUAUCAGUCGAGGUCCUUGCUCUGUGAGGUUGGCACACAGACAUACCUGACUGCCUUAGCCCAGAGUCCUCACUCCAUCCCAGGCCCUGACACUGAACCUAUCAUGGUGUUUAGGGCCCAGAGGGAAAGUGCGAUGGAAAGGAGCCAGCAGAGCAGCAUUCGGCAGCAGCACCAACCCAUGGCCACCUCACAUCAGGUGGUCCUGCAGAAAGACAUAGGGCCUUACUGCUCCUCCCGUGAUGCUGCCACUCAGACCUAUAUCUGUGCCCUUACCCACACACCUGCACUGAAAACAGGGGAGGCAGGUGGGUGUCAAACAUCAGGGGUACACUUUACAUUUCAAUGAGAUUAAAUACAAGUUAGAAGGUUGAUUUGUCCUCCAUUGAGGGUGUGUGAGCCUUUUAUUAUCCUGUGUCUUCAUUCAGAAGACGAAACAGUCUUACCUACAGAGAAUGGAGAGGGAGUGGAAGUCUGAUUGGCUUGUCGAUUGGUCAUGGAGAUUGUUUAACAAUCUUAACUGUGUAGAUUACUGUAUGUUUGUCAGUUAACCAGCUAGCAGUAUACCUGUUUAUUGUCAGUGUGCCAGUCCUUAUUACUUUUAAGCAGAGUUACUUGCUCGGAAAACAGCGGGUGCACUGUUAAUUAAUAAGGAUCAUAUUCCAACCAGCCUUGCAUUUUUUGUUUGGUUGAGUGCUAGGAAAUUAUAAUAAUGUCUAUGAACCGUGUAAUCUGUUUAUAAUGCGACAUAGACUGCCUGUAUUCUAUUAGCAUAGGCAAGGGUCCGCAUGUCUCCCAGCCAUAACAUUUCGGAAGAGUUCAUGCAUAUAUUAUGAUAGAAUUUUAAGUUUUUGUCAGUUUGGACUUCGGUAGUUUUUUUUCGGGUGUUCGUGCACACUACAUUUUUGCUCAAGGCCAGGCUAAAUUCAGCAGUUGAAGUGUACGUGAUUGGUCAACAGCUGUAGGGAUUCUUCAAUUAAGUAUUAGUUGGCAUUCAUUAAAACAUUUCAUUGCGAAAUACUGCACCAAACAUCUUAGUUCGAUGUAAAAUUGCUCGGCUAGCUGAAUCGAACGAGUGUGCUUGCAUACUCCCUUAAAAUACACUCGCUUGAAAUACGAGAAAAAAAGGGGCAAUAGUGCUGUUUGUCCAUUUUGAGAAACAUUAACCAGCAUACGUUUCCUCAAAAUAGUCCGAAUGAAUCUAAAAUAUCUCAAGAAAUCUGUCAUUCAUUUUGUGUGCGACGAAGGAAUGUAGACUUCGGAUCAGAACUUUGGCUUGCCUCUAGAAAACAUUUUGUGUGCCCGAACAGCGGAAAAAUCCUCACCAAAUCCAAAAACAACCAACUUCACAAACCUUACGUCAUAAUAUAUACAGGAGCUAUUUCGGCUGGGAAGCACGCAGACGCCUUUAUAUUAGAUCUCUGUAAAAAUGUAUGACAUAUUUCUUGAGUUAUCAUAGAUGAAUUCUGACUAUUUUGAGGAAGUGUAUACUGCCGGCGGCGUCUCAAAAUGGACAAACAGUACUAUUUCCGAUUUUGUUGUCGUUUUUCAAACAAAGGUAUUUUAAAGUAUGAGAGCACAGCCGAACUGAAGCAUGCUGAUGCCUUUAGGGCGGCCGCAUGCUUCCCAACCUAAACACUUCGUGCAUAUAUUAUUGCAUUUCUAUUUAUGUGAUAUGACAAUUUAGUCAUGUCCAGUUAGUAGUGUAAUUACUCAAUUCUGUGUUAAUAUUUGUGAUAGGUGAUACCCAAACGAUUCUAGAUUUCCAUAUAUUGUGAGAAAUGGAUAAAAGUGUUCUUCCUCUUCUAUUCAUGUUUGAACCAGUGAAGAGGGCCAGUGUGAUAAAAGCAGUAGGACAGCCCAUUCGACUCCACAGACUGUGUCCUGUAGAGGAAUCCUCUGAGCAUUGCAGGGGCCAGCUGAGGGUGAUUGGGGAUGAGGUGAACAGCAUGUUCUCCAAGGGAAAGGUGUGUAAGUUCAAUGGGGUAGGAGGGGAGAAAGAGAACAAUAGGUCAAUAGAGGGAUAACAAUCAAGAAGAAAGAUAAUGUGUCAUACUAGGCCAGGAUACUGUUAAAGGACUUUGAGACAACUGCUGAUGUAAAAAGGUCUUUAUACAUUUGAUUGCUUGAUGUACUCCCCUCAUAGAGAUUCCUAAUACAAUCUGUCAUUCAUUCACACCUGAUGUUCUCUGUGUGUGUGUGUGUGUGUGUAUUAGGUGGGGUCCACACAUUGGCAGACCUGGAGGGGAGGAAUCAUCACGUGCCUGUUCACUGUCCUCAGUGGCAUUGGAUCUCUCUACCUGCUCCAGUACAGAAACCUUAGGACAUCCUAGAGACCCACUGACCCACGGCGUCACACCGCACUUGACCUUUGACCUUUCUUAAUACAUUUCUAUCCAUUCCUACAGAAUGUCAUAAGGCAUUUAUGAUUUUAUUUAUUUGAUUGUUUAUUGAUUUAGUUGACAUUGCACAAUAUGUCAUAUAGAGUAGAAUAUUUGCACUUUCUGUUCCUUUACUUGACAAUGUAGGCUGACUAUUUUGAGGGGCUAGUUGACAGUGCUUACUGUGGAAAUGGCUCCACCUAGUGGUGUUGGAUGGUGUCUGAAGCUACUUAUUUAAUAGCGCCAAAAUCAUAUUGCUGUAGAGAAAUGUGUGCUGUAUCUCCACUCAGGAUUUUGGUAGCUUUAGACACCAUCAACAUCCACGGGAUUACACAAUUGUUUAACUCUUUAAUGAUUUAAUAAUUUAUUUCAAUCAUACUGUGAUUUCAGUGGAAUAUACAGUCACAUCCCAAAUUAUUUGCACCCUUGAUAAAGAUGAGCAAAAAAAUAAAUGUAUAUUUGUUUAUACAUGCACAAUUGCUAAAAGAAAAAGUAAUACAAAAAAGUUUUAAAAUAAUUUAAAAAAAGAUGUCAAUGAUUGGCACCGCUGUUUUCAAUACCUUGUGGACCGUUCCCUUGUGAGGAUAAUGGCACUGAGGAUUUUUUAUAAUGUUUUAUGAGAUUGGAGAACACAUUGGGAGAGAUCUUAGAACAUUCCUCCAUACAGAAUCUUUCCAGAUCCUUUAUAUUCUUCGGUCUGCGCUUAUGCACUGCCCUCUUCAAUUCAAACCACAGGUUUCCAAAUGGGGUUCAUGUCCGGAGACUGAGGUGGCCAUUGCAAAAUGUUGAUUUUGUGGUCAAUUAACCAUUUUAUUUGUGGAUGUACAGUGCAUUCAGAAAGUAUUCAGACCCCUUGACUUUUUCCACACUUUGUUAUGUUAUUCAGUUUUUUUCCCCUCAUCAAUCUAUACACAAUAUCCCAUAAUGACAAAGCAAAAACAGUUUUUUCUAGAAAUAUCACAUUUACAUAAGUAUUCAGACCCUUUGUACUCAGUACUUUGUUGAAGCACCUUUGGCAGCGAUUACAGCCUUGAGUCUUUGGUAUGAUGCUACAAUCUUGGCACACCUUUAUUUGGGGAGUUACUCCCAUUCUUCUCU